CGGCGGCGUGCGGUCGUGGCGCGCGGUGGGCGGCGCGCACGGCGGCGAGCUGUCCGUGUUCUGCUGGUGAUGGCGCCCGCCCUGAGCCGGAGCGUGUCGCAGAGCGCAGCGGUGUCCGCCCCGACGUAUUUACUCUACACUACCACUACCCACUUAGCGCAAUAAGAAAACGAUUCCGAUGCCUGCCUCCUCGGGCGCUCGGGCUCCUUCGGCUGCGCUCGGACUCGCUCGGGUGCGUUCGGACCCGCUCGGCGACGCUCCGGUGUUGGAGUUCCUUUCGUUGCACUCAAAUAAUGAUCAAAGUACAAACUUACUAAUACUAUUGUAUCGAAGCGCGGCCGCCCCGCGUUGCCGACCGAAUGUAGAUUUUUGGAAAUAUUUACUCGUUUUGAAUACUGUGUUUAAAUUAUUGCCACUCUUGAUCGGUUUCGGAUGUUUGUAUUAGUGGACGCUACGCGUGUCGCCUCCUGUGGGGCGAAUUUGUAUUACAUACGAGGCCAUCGAUAGGUACAUACGGAGUAUCGUUUGAACCGUCGAAGACGGACUUCGGGGACGUUCACGGAUGCGGGUCUCAUCUCCGGGAUCGUUUUCUGCGGCGGUGUACGCUACUCGUGAGAAUCGAAGAUUUCGUUCGUUUCGUUCUAGUGUAGGUAGACGCGGCGUUAGAUGCGCGUAUUAAUUAAUACUUAACUUAGAUUUUACUUUGUAAUCGUGUCACCGCGUAACCGUGGCAGGCGAGACCCGCAUCGCGUGAAACGUGUUACGAGAGGUGACGUAUCGGUAGAAUCGCCUCGGCUUUUGAUCUCGAAUUGCGACUGAGCGGCUCGGCGCCGGCGACAGUGGAGCGACAGCUGGGCGACAGUGGAGCAACAGCUGGGCGACAGUGGAGCAACAGCUGGGCGACAGUGGAGCGACAGUUGGGCGAUAGCAGUCGCCGGCGUCGAGCCGCACGUGAUUCCUUAAUAGAUUAUCAAAAUAUUUUUAUCAUUUUUAAAAAUGUCAAUUGAUAUGAACACGAAGCGCUGCCUUUUGUGCAAUAUGAAGGAUUUUUAUGGGGUUCGUUUCGCUGUGAAAUGGAGGACAUCGCCGCCAGUGAGUGUUGUCACUGGACUGCGGCGAACUGUCGACGACGGGCGCGCUCGUGGUUCGUAGGCGUAUCGGUUGUACCUAGUUGUAACUUAUGUUAGUAGUUUAUUUAGCUGGGCUAAUUCUGUUACUCUUGUUGUGUUAAAUGAAAAUUAAAAAUAUAUAAUAAAAAUGUGGUGCGAGUGGAUACAGUGAGUUUAACGAUAAAGACAUUUAACAAAUUUUCAAAUUAAUACGAUAAAAAUACUAAGACUUUUUUUAAAAAUUGCUUGGAUAAAGAUUGUAUGUACAUAGUGUUAAGUUACGUAGAUCGUAAGUGCAGUCCUAGAUGUAGUAGGUAUAACAAAUUGUACGGCGAGGCGUCCAGCGCCCGCUCUUCUGUUAACAGUUCUUAUUGUGUUACUUUGUUUCUGCUGAACUUUCGUUACUGACACGUCCAUGUUGUUUCCCGACCUCUCGUGCGACUGACUGGCCGAUUUUAUAUUGUAAUCGGAACCAUCCAAACGUCCAUCACUGAACACAUUGCAAGUGUCAAGUUUAUUUUUGCAAAUAACUCUAGAAUAUUUUUUGAAAAGGGGGAAUAUAAAUAACUUUUUUACCGACUUGUCAAUUGGAAGCCGGGGUCAUCAUUAAAGUAUUUACUUGCUAAUGUGUUUGGUCGCGGACUGUUGUGUGGGAGUGACGGCCGGCGAUCGCAGCGAUGUCUGUUGCAACAAUCAGUGGUGAUAUUUACAAGAUAAUUUAUAUUAUGUUUUUAUAUACUGAAUUAACAAGCGUAAUAAAGAGUGAGCAAUGGCACAUCUUAA